rnacentral:lncRNA from 1 species
ACACAUACAUGUAUACAUUCUUUUUUCUCACAUUAUCAUGUUCCAUCAUAAGUGACUAGACAUAAUUCUCAGUGCUACACAGCAGGAUCUCAUUGCUAAUCCAUUCCAAAUGCAAUAGUCUGCAUCUACCACCCCCAAACUCCCAAUCCAUCCCACUCCCUCCCCUAUGGACUUGGAGAAUAAAUUUAUUUUUUAUUAUGGUAUAUAUGUGUGUAUGACUGUGUCAUUAUGCUGUACAUUAGAAAUUGUACUGUAAGUCAACUAUAUUCUAAUAAAAAUAAAUUUAAUAAAAAACGAAAGUGAGUAAAAGUUGCAAAGAGCUACUUCAAAAGGAGGAACUCAAAAUAACAAACACAUGAAAAGAUGCUCAGUGUCCUUAGUCUUAAAGGAGACUAGCACUUGGAGGAGGUAUCUCUGGUACAAUUCCAAAAUGAGCCCAAAGGAAAGAUGAAAGAUGCAGAGUGAUGGCAAGCAGGACUCUCAUGCACCCCUGGUGGAAGUACACAUUUAUCAAACUCCUGCUGAAAAUGCUUUGGCAGGAUCUCCUGUGACUCAGCAUUUCCACCUUAAGUAUAGCCCGGAAAAAAAAUGGUUACUUAUUUUCAUCAGAAAGAUAGCUCUGUUUAUAAUAUCCCCAAACUUGGAACUACCUAAAUAUUCAUAAACAAUAGCAUGAACAAUCAAUUAUCAUGUUAUCACACAACUGUGAUUUUACAGCAAAUUAAACUAAAUAAGUCAUUGCUACCAAAAAAAUCCAUGAAUGAAUCCCACAAACAAGGGGUUGAGCAAAAGAAGCCAGAAAUGAAAAGUCACAUUCUAUAUGUUUGCAUUUAUGUAAAAUUUGAAAAAGCAAAAUUAAUCUCUGGGGCUAGAUAUCAACAGAAUAGUUAAUUUUUUUGUAGGAAUAAUGACUAGGGAAAGAAUUUGUGACAUAUUAUUCUGUCUCUAGAUCCAUGAUCUCUUUGCCUCACACAUUUCUUUGAGUUUCUUUUUAAAAAUCUUUAAAAACAAUUUUUUGGCCAUGCCUAUGGCAUGUGGAAGUUCCUGGGCUGGGGAUCCAACCCAUGCCACGGUAGUGAGAACCCCGGAUCCUGAUCCCAGUGCACCACAAUGGAACACUGAAGGUAUUUCUGCUGCUUUCUUGCUUUCUACGAUACUCUUGCAAAAUCUGCUAUUACAUUUUUUUUUUAUUUGCAUGUAACUUGUUCUUUUUGUGUGGAGUUCUCCAUAUUUAAAUAUACUUGACAACUAUUAAUUCUACUAAGACAUGUUUUAUAGUUGACCAGUCUAGGUCCAGUCUUUCAUGCAAACCCCUUUAAUAGGUAAAUCUGCAUUCCCCUCUCUGUUUCCAAAGAGUUUAUUUUUAUAAAAUAAUUUGUAAUGAUAGUUCCACAUAUUUGCUGUUUUGCUGUUUUUUUUCUUUCUUUGUAUGUGUAUAUGUGUGUGUGCCUAUUUUUCUCUUUUACUUUCCUUUUAUUACUCCCUGUAAUUGAUUUUCUUUUAUCCUCUCUCUACUUUCAGUCAAAACUAUUUUCUGUUUAGCACUUGUAAUUCAGCCUUCAUGUCUCAGAUGACUUAGUCCUUCUCUUUAAUUUUCCUUAGUUCCAUCAACUUUUAUUUUACAUUUUCUUCUAUUUUAUUUUACAUUCCUUCCUUCUUUUUACAUUAUCUUCUAUUCUGAUUUUUUAAUUUACAAAUUUUGAAUUCUUUAAUAUCUUCAAUUACCUGUUUAAUAGCAUGUGAUUUCUAUUUUAUUAUGUUCUUGGACAGUUUGUGGUUGGUAUUUGGAGGUAGUAUUUUCAUCACUGAAAACUUUGGUCUUUAUUUUCCUUGUCUUUUUUGGUUUACCUUCAUCAGUGUUUUGGAUUAGCCACAUUCAAUGUAUUUAUAAGAAUUUGUAAACAUGAGUUGACAUGAUUUUUCUUAGUAUUUUCCAUCCUCUUUGUUGAAACUGUGAAGUAUAGUUUACUUGAUUUUUUUUUUUUUUUGAGAAAUAAGUGGCUUGUGGAUUUUUCUUCUUCUUUUUAAUGGAUAUAGGCUCAGAUAUUUUAAUUUUUAUUUUUUGUAGAUUCUUUCAUUUGUACUUCUUUGCUUCCUUCUUUCUCUAUCCUGCCAAGCCCAUAGACACAGCUUUCUCAUUUAGUUUGCACCCCUUUCCCCAGAAGUUCUGCCUCCCAGAGGCCCUUGUCCGUCCUCAACUUUCGAAGCCACAGUAGAUGGUGCUCUGACCCAUCAGUUCUCAGAGCUAUUUUCAAUUAUCUUCCCACUCAAAGGACUUUGUCAGAGGUUAUCGAGAUCAGGACCACCUCCCAGACCCCACGGCACCUUCCUUUUUCAGGGUAGGCUCAUCUCAGCUUUCCUCUGGAAAAUUCCAGCCCUGACUCUAGACAUUUCAGAUUUUUAAGUGAAUUAAAGUUUGUAGGCUUCUGUGUCUUCUAGUUUUGCUUCAGGCAUGGUUAUGGGCAGUGUUGUUUUCUGUCCUCUGAAUGUUUGGCUGUACAGAAUGUGUUUAGAGAUAUGGAUCUAGGUGGCCGACCAGGAGUGAGGUCUGUUAAACCUUCUGUAGUACCCUGAGGUCUCAUUUCCUCCAAGUGGUCUGAAAUGCUCUUCUCAUGCUGACCAUUACAGUUUGGGUAAAUAAUGGAGAUUGUCUCCAGGUAUCAAAGAAACCUUUUGAUGUCAUCAUGGGAUAACAUAGUAACUGAUCAUCAUCCGCUUCCCCUUAUAGUACAAUUCAUACCCAUGACAAAAUCUUAUGCUUAAACCCUCAAUCUGUAGUCUUAUUUUCCAUGAACCAUACAUAUGACUGAUAAUUUCAUUUCUUCUGGGAAUUAGCUAUUUAACAGUAUCAUUUUCCUAAAAUUGGGAUAUUUGACGUUUUUUUUUUUAAUGGCCACACCCUUGGCAUAUGGAAGUUUCUGGACUAGGAAUCAAAUCUGAGCAGCAGCUGCAAACCACAAUCCAUACCACAGCUGUAACAAUCCUGGAUCCUUAACCCAGUGCCCUGGGCCAGGGAUUGAACCUGGGCUGCCAUAGAAACAAUGCCGGAUCCUUGACCCACUGUGUCACAGUGGAAACUCUGAAUAUCUGACAUUUUUAAAAACUGAUUUUCAGAUAUCAUAGUUCAGUAAAUUUUCUUGUGUUUUUUGCACAUAUUUGUGUAAUUUGGUGAAUAGUAUUGAAUCGUGGUCUAAAAUUUUGAUAAAUUAGGUUUUAAAAGUGAGGCAAUUAUAUAGAUAGACAUUGCUAAGACAACUAUUUAGAUAAGAUAAUAUCAUACAAUCUUUAAAAAAUUCUGUAUUUUAGUGCAUAAUUGCUAUGCUAUUAUGUUAUUCUUAUGAAGACACUAAAGCUGAAUACUUAAUAAGUAUUUGAUAAUGAUGACAAUUGUGUUAAAGAUGAAUGUUAUUCAUUCUUUCCUUAUAAUAUUUCUACACCUGUUAGAUAUUGUGCCUAAACAAGAUAUUAAUAUUCAUGAAAAGCCAAUUAAGAACACAUUGUUAUUUAUGCUUUAUACUUGGAAACUCAAUAAGAUUAAGGAAUUUACCAGAACCACACAGCUAAUAAACAGCAAUAUUAGAAUUCUAGGAUCCUAGAAUCAAAAGCCUUGGGUCUAAGCAGGUGCAUUAUAUUCUAGUGAUUAAUGAAAAAAGAAGCUUCAGAGUCUAAAAAUGCUUUUAAUGUGAAAUGGGGCUUAUCUUAAUUUACUGGAAGCAAAAUGUAUUUGUUUUUCUUUUAUUGCUAUCUUCUGUAAACCCAUCCUUUGCACCUUAAAUGGACCUCUUGUUACCUGUGAACUGUUCUUCCAAAGCCAAAAAUAAAUUGAAACUCCCUUCAAAUCUUAAUUGCCUCAGAUGUUUAAUCUCCACAAUAAGGCCAAUAACCUUGACACACUUCACAGGGCUGCAGAAAGAGAAACCAAAUAAAAACACACAUGCAAACACAAUUACAAAACUCUUGUAAAUAAAAUACAGCCAUAUAAAUGCAAAAUAACAAUAAUAAUUAUAAUUGUUCUUGAACAGUUGAAUUUCAGAAUGCAGGUGUUAGUAAAUAUCUCUCUUUGUGAAUUUGUGUUCAUAGAAGAAAAGAUAAUUGUGUUUUCCCUGGUUGGAUGUCAAUAACCAAUUGCAUGAGUGGAGAAGUAGCUACUUAUCGCAGUACAUGCAUUGCUAAAGGAAACCAAUGGAAAGGAGGCUGUGCACUAUUUUACCGUACUUAGACGACCUCAUAUUUCUAUUAUUGCUUUUAUUCUGUCUUUUCCGCUCUAAGAUCCAGAACCAUUGUUUUGAAUAAACAGAUUUUGCCAAGACCUAUAGUUACUUGUCUUCUCUACCCAACUCCACACAUUCACUCUGGCUCCAUACUAGGGGUUCUUCACUGUUGCUCUUUCCAUCCUCUGAGAUUCUGUUUGCCCUUCUCUCUCCCAGAGUCCUUCUUACAUCAUUCGCUCUCACGAUGUUUCUUAGAUGCUGCCAAGACAUCUUUGAUGACAUAAGUCCUCUAGUGGGAAAAUACAUUCUUUGCCCAUGUAAAGCCUCUGUCUCUAUUAGAAACCCUCACCUAAGUGUAUCUUCCUUCUAUGUGUAUUUUCCUCUUCCCAAGAACUUGAGAGGGAACAUGCUGCCCUACUCUGUAUUGCCAGUAGCAUUGCUCAGUUCAGUAGUGUGAACACAGAAAUGCAGACAUGUCAAUAUGGGCUUAACAAUUGAGAGUAACCCAAGACUCUAAUUUAGGAAAAUGGACAAGUAGGGGGGAAUUUCCUUUUCUUUAAAUGUGAGUGACUUGAAAUAGAAUUUUCCUCAGUCCUUACAACAGUGACCAACAGAAAAAUCAAGAUUCUCAUUCUUUUUUCUUUUUUUCAGCUACAUCCACAGCAUGUGGAAGUUCCUAGGCCAGUGACUGAACCUGAGCCACAGCUAUGACCAGUGCUUCUGCAGUGAUAAUGGCAGAUCCUUCCAAAUGUGUGGAAAAACAUUAUGUGCUCAUUCAUUGGAAUUAUUAACAUUGUUAAAAUGUCCACACUAUCAAAAGCAAUCUAUAGAUUCAGUGCAAUCUCUAUAAAAAUUCCAGUGACAUUUUUCACAGAACUAAAACAAAGAAAUUUAAAAUUUGUGUGGAACCUCAAAAGACCCCAAACAGCCAAAGCAAUCUUGAGAAAGAACAGAGCUGGAGGCAUCAUGGUCCCUGAUUUCCAACUCUUACGAAACUAUCCAUGAUCAAAGCAGUUCGUUUUCGGCAUGACAUAGGUUAGUGGAACAAAACACUAACUCCAGAAAUAAACCCACAUAUAAACAGUAGCUUAAUUUAUGACAAAGAAGCCAAGAUUAUACAGUGGGAAAAAAACAGUCUCUUCAGAAAAUGCUAUUGAAAAAACUGGAUAGCCACAUGCAAAAUGAUGAGGCUGGACCACUAUCUUAUACUAUACACAAAAAAUAAUUCAAAAUAAUUUAAGAAUAGACUUGUGGUUGCCAAGCGGGAGGGGGAGGGGGAGGGAGUAGGGUGGAUUGGGAGCUUGGGGUUAAUCUAUGCAAACUAUUGCUUUUGGAAUGGAUUAGCAAUAAGAUCCUUCUGUGGGAACUAUGUCUAGUCACUUAUUAUGGAGCAUGAAAACGUGAGAAGAAAAACGUAUACAUGUAUGUGUAACUGAGUCACCAUGCUGUACAGUAGAAAAAAAAUUGUAUUGGGGAAAUAACAAUUAAAAAAAUAGCUAAAUGUAAGACUUGGAAUACUAAAGCUCCUAGAAGAAAACAUAUGCAGUAAGUUCCUUGACACUGGUCUCCAUGAUGAUUUGUGUGUGAAUUUGACACCAAAAACAAAGGCAACAAAAGCAAAAAUAAACAAGCAAGAUCACAUCAAGCUAAAAAGCUUCCGCACCUUAAAUAAAACCAUCAAUGAAAUGAAAAGGCAACCUAGUGAGUGGCAGAAAAUAUUUGCAAGUCAUAUAUCUGUUAAGGUGUUAAUAUCCAAAUUAUAUAAAGAACUCAACAGCAAAAAAAAACAAAAAACAAAAAAAACUUGCAACUUAACAGCGAAGAAAACACACAAACCAAAAAAUCCAUUUAAAAAAUGGGCAGAAGAUCUGAAUAGACUUUUUUUCUAAGAAAGAUGUAAGGAUGACCACCACACAUAAAAAUAUGCUCAAUAUCACAUCACUCAUCAUCAGGAAAAUUCAAAUCAAAACCACAAGAUAUCGCCCACACUUUUUAGAUUGUCUAUUAUCAAAAACGCUAGCUAUAAUAAGUUUCAGCAAGGAUGUGUUGUCAAAGAAACUCUUGUUCACUGUUGUUUCAAUACACAUUGGUUCAGCCAGUGUGGAAAACAGUAUGGAGGUUCUUCAAAAAUUUAAAAAUAGGAGUUCCCGUUGUGGCUCAGUGGUUAAUGAAUCUGACUAGGAACGAUGAGGUUUUGGGUUCGAUUCCUGGCCUUGCUCAGUGGGUUAAGGAUCUGGUCGCAGAUGUGGCUCAGAUCCUGCGUGGCUGUGGCUCUGGCAUAGGGGUGCAGCUGUAGCUCCGAUUUGACCCCUAGCUUGGGAACCUCCAUAUGCCACGAGAGCAGCCCUAGAAAAGGCAAAAA